CCCACAAUGAGGACAUUACACAUCGCACAGAUUUACGGAGUCACACAAAAGCAAUUAGUUUGUCUCCGAGCCGUCAGCAGCAGUAUGGAUUCACUAAAAGCGCCUGUCACAACUAAAUGAUGUGAGCAGCUUGAGCCUGAGAAGGAGCCAAACUUACCUGACUUCAGCUCUUGACAAAAAAAGAAACCCGACGACUUUGCUGCUGAGCUGAAACUGCUAAUUUCUGGGACCAGCCUUUUUUUGGCUGUGAACUGGAUGGAUGAAUGGCUUGUCUCGCACAAAUGACAAAAAGCCCCUGCCUUAAUCUCCAUCGCCAAAAUAACCCCUCAUCUCAUUCUGCUCCUGCUAGUCCUUCAAAAGAAGGUGCUCUACACAAACUCAAGUUUUGCAUCUGUAUUAUAAAUACAACAUACACCACCAUGUCCUCACUAUGUUUAUAAUGUUGAAUUAAAGCAUGUAAAAGGUCCUUCUUCAUUUCACAUGCGAGAAAAGCAUCUGGCCAAAUAACACUAUGAAACACAAAACAUAACCGAAGUGAUGUAAAGUUAUAAAACAACAUGCAGAAAAAUAAAGUCUAACACAAUA